rnacentral:lncRNA from 1 species
GGGGGGCAAGGGGUUUAACUGUUAUGCUGUUAUGGGGAUAAUUUAAUUCUUUGUUAACUGUUUUUCUGAAAAUAUGUUUGCUGUUAGCUGUUAUUGUCUUAUUUCUUGUUAGCUGUUAUAGGACUAUUAUUUUUAUUGUUAUCUGUUAUUGUGAGAUUGUGUUUGCUGUUAACUGUUAUUAAAAACUGGAAUGUUAGCAUUUUGACAACCAAUCUUAAGUAGAAAUUGAAGAUAAUUGAACAUUGUGACUUGGAAGGAGAGUUGUCUCAUUGUCACUCAUAUCACAUCUUC